CACAUGCUUCAGUGCUCUGAGAGUGUUUAUAGUGCUGUGAGUUUAACACUUCAUGACUGAGAGCAGAACAGAACACAAUCUUCAUCAUCACACAAGACAAAAGAACAACAAUGAACACAAUCACCUUCUUCAUCUGGACUCUCACACUGAUCGCUCAAGAGUGUAGAGGACAGAUCACUGUAAUUCAGAGUCCAUCAAUAAUAACAGCUCAACCAGGACAAGAAGUCAGAAUAAACUGUAAAACCAACAGUAGAGUGUAUAAUGGUAAUGAGUUAGCCUGGUACUUACAGAAACCUGGAGAAGCUCCUAAACUCCUCAUAUAUGAUGCAUCAAUCUGUUAUACUGGAACUCCAUCUAGAUUCAAUGGCAGUGGAUCUGACAGUGAUUUCACUCUGACCAUCAGUGGAGUCCAGACUGAAGAUACAGGAGAUUAUUACUGUCAGAGUUACCACUGGAUCAACAGUAAAGAUGUGUUCACACAGUGAUAAAGAGUGGUACAAAAACCUCGGUCAGUCAGACGUCACAGUGAUGCACUGAUACAGCUGAGAGAUACAAUCAGCUCAUUCAACACAAUCACACACAACACUGAUCACAGACAAACACUAAUAACACUAGAUCAUCUAAAUGAACAUAAAUUUGCUUGAAGCUCAUCAGUAUUUUUGUAUAUAACAUGAAUAUUUUGUUGAUGUGAUCAUGGCUUUUAUUCCAGUAAGGACUGUUAUUGUUUUAUUAGUGUUUCAUAGUAAGGACUGAUUGCCAAAACCAGUUUAAUAAUAUGAUUGUCAUAAUUUAAUUACAUUUUUAUAUUUUUUUAUAGAAUGAUUGUAGUGAUGUUUUCAUUUGUUGUAUGUAGAGAUUGUGGAUCUCUUCUGUUGUGUUUGUCUCUUCUCCAUCUUCACUCUCAGUGUUUUUCAUCAUCUCUCUGUUCCACAUGAUGUUCACUUGAGUUUUUCUGUAAAUUAUAUUCAACGAUCUGAAUUCAAUGCAAACAUGUUCUCAAGCUCAACUCUUCAACAGUGAAUGUAAGCCACA